AUGCGAUUGCCCGAGAGGUUAAGGGGCUGAGUUCAGGUCUCAGUGGGAAACCGUCGUGAGUUCGAACCUCACAUCGCAUA
rfam:Polysphondylium pallidum PN500 unplaced genomic scaffold PPL_scaffold2, whole genome shotgun sequence.